ACGAACGCUGGCGGCAUGCCUAACACAUGCAAGUCGAACGAGAUCUUCGGAUCUAGUGGCGCACGGGUGCGUAACGCGUGGGAAUCUGCCCCUUGCUUCGGAAUAACAGUGAGAAAUUACUGCUAAUACCGGAUGAUGUCUUCGGACCAAAGAUUUAUCGGCAAGGGAUGAGCCCGCGUAGGAUUAGGUAGUUGGUGGGGUAAUGGCCUACCAAGCCGACGAUCCUUAGCUGGUCUGAGAGGAUGAUCAGCCACACUGGGACUGAGACACGGCCCAGACUCCUACGGGAGGCAGCAGUGGGGAAUAUUGGACAAUGGGCGAAAGCCUGAUCCAGCAAUGCCGCGUGAGUGAUGAAGGCCUUAGGGUUGUAAAGCUCUUUUACCAGGGAUGAUAAUGACAGUACCUGGAGAAUAAGCUCCGGCUAACUCCGUG
rnacentral:rRNA from 1 species